UACGGAGGGGGGCUAGCGUUGUUCGGAUUCAUUGGGCGUAAAGGGUGCGUAGGCGGCGUGGUAAGUCGGGGUGUGAAAUCUCGGAGCUUAACUCCGAAACUGCAUUCGAUACUGCCGUGCUUGAGGACUGGAGAGGAGACUGGAAUUCCCGGUGUAGAGGUGAAAUUCGUAGAUAUCGGGGAGGAACACCAGUGGCGAAGGCGGCGAUCUGGGCUGAUACUGACGCUGAGGUGCGAAAGCGUGGGGAGCAAACAGG
rnacentral:rRNA from 1 species